rnacentral:rRNA from 1 species
UCAACGAGUCGGGUUGUUUGGGAAUGCAGCCCAAAUCGGGCGGUAGACUCCGUCCAAGGCUAAAUACAGGCGAGAGACCGAUAGCGAACAAGUACCGCGAGGGAAAGAUGAAAAGGACUUUGAAAAGAGAGUCAAAGAGUGCUUGAAAUUGCCGGGAGGGAAGCGGAUGGGGGCCGGUGAUGCGCCCCGGCCGUAUGCGGAACGGCUCUUGCUGGUCCGCCGCUCGGGUCCCUCAGGGCACUGCGCUGCAACGGCCUGCGGGCUCCCCAU